GAUGAACGCUGGCGGCGUGCCUAAUACAUGCAAGUCGAGCGAACGGACGAGAAGCUUGCUUCUCUGAUGUUAGCGGCGGACGGGUGAGUAACACGUGGAUAACCUACCUAUAAGACUGGGAUAACUUCGGGAAACCGGCGCUAAUACCGGAUAAUAUUUUGAACCGCAUGGUUCAAAAGUGAAAGACGGUCUUGCUGUCACUUAUAGAUGGAUCCGCGCUGCAUUAGCUAGUUGGUAAGGUAACGGCUUACCAAGGCUACGAUGCAUAGCCGACCUGAGAGGGUGAUCGGCCACACUGGAACUGAGACACGGUCCAGACUCCUACGGGAGGCAGCAGUAGGGAAUCUUCCGCAAUGGGCGAAAGCCUGACGGAGCAACGCCGCGUGAGUGAUGAAGGUCUUCGGAUCGUAAAACUCUGUUAUUAGGGAAGAACAUAUGUGUAAGUAACUGUGCACAUCUUGACGGUACCUAAUCAGAAAGCCACGGCUAACUACGUG
rnacentral:rRNA from 1 species